rnacentral:misc_RNA from 1 species
GUUUUGGUCAAUUCAUCUUCACAAGUCUCUGUAAACAACAUGUAAAGAAUUUCAGACAAGUAAUAAUAUACCUUCUUCCCAUCAAAUACGAGAGAAUGUUAUUGAAGUCUCACUAGUACUCCCAUUCAAAUUUGAUAAAAUUUGGUCACUUGCCCUGUUUGGUGUAAAGCUAGGAAUGGUACUCUGAUAUCCAAGAUGAAAUGAUUUUGAUCUCUUUGUCUCGCUGUGCAACCAACCACUCAGGAUCAUCCGGAGUUGGGAGUUCCAUGUCCAAGCAAUGGGCUCCUUGUUCUGUAUACACUGCAACAACACUGUCUGAUAUGUCUUCUAGAACUCCUCCUAUGCUAUAUGGGUCUCGGAGUCCAUUGGAGAAAAUGAUGUUGCUUGCAAAAUUUCCUAGUACAGUUUUUAUGUCAUGGCCGCCAAAUUCUGUUGUUAUCCAAUGAGGCCUAGGCAUAACUCUAAAAACAUCUACACACUCUUUGGUGUAGUUCUCUAUAUCGAAAGGUUCAGCUUCGAACAUAGUCUCAUUACCACGUCCGAUUGGCAUUACAAUCUCAGUACAUGUCUGAA